rnacentral:rRNA from 1 species
UACGGAGGGUGCAAGCGUUAAUCGGAAUUACUGGGCGUAAAGCGUGUGUAGGUGGUGACAUAAGUCGGAUGUGAAAGCCCUGGGCUCAACCUGGGAAUGGCAUUCGAUACUGUGUGACUAGAGUUUAGUAGAGGGAAGUGGAAUUCCAGGUGUAGCGGUGAAAUGCGUAGAGAUCUGGAGGAACAUCAGUGGCGAAGGCGACUUACUGGACCAAUACUGACACUGAGGUGCGAAAGCGUGGGGAGCAAACAGG